UGGCUCGAGGACGACGCUGGCGGCGUGCUUAACACAUGCAAGUCGAACGGAAAGGCCCCCUUGUGGGGUACUCGAGUGGCGAACGGGUGAGUAACACGUGAGUAACCUACCUUGACUUUGGGAUAACUUCAGGAAACUGGGGCUAAUACCGGAUAGGAGCUCCAGCUGCAUGGUGGGGGUUGGAAAGUUUCGGCGGUUGGGGAUGGACUCGCGGCUUAUCAGCUUGUUGGUGGGGUAGUGGCUCACCAAGGCUUUGACGGGUAGCCGGCCUGAGAGGGUGACCGGCCACAUUGGGACUGAGAUACGGCCCAGACUCCUACGGGAGGCAGCAGUGGGGAAUAUUGCACAAUGGGCGGAAGCCUGAUGCAGCAACGCCGCGUGCGGGAUGACGGCCUUCGGGUUGUAAACCGCUUUCGCCUGUGACGAAGCGUGAGUGGCGGUAAUGGGUAAAGAAGCACCGGCUAACUACGUG
rnacentral:rRNA from 1 species